AGUAAUACAGCAAACCCAAGUUUUCUCUCAGGGGAAGUCACUCUCGUCUCCAUGCCCCGAUAUCAGCAUGAGACAGUGUGUCCUCCCUUGAGUGAGAUGCUAUAAAGCCGCUAUGUUGCU
rnacentral:precursor_RNA from 9 species